rnacentral:rRNA from 1 species
GGGCGAAAGCCUGAUGCAGCAACGCCGCGUGAGGGACGAAGGCCUUCGGGUCGUAAACCUCUUUUCUGGGGGAAGAGAUCAGGACGGUACCUCAGGAAUAAGUCUCGGCUAACUACGUGCCAGCAGCCGCGGUAAUACGUAGGGGGCGAGCGUUGUCCGGAUUUAUUGGGCGUAAAGAGCUCGUAGGCGGUUUGGCAAGUCGGGUGUGAAAACUCCGGGCUCAACUCGGAGACGCCACUCGAUACUGCUAUGACUCGAGUCCGGUAGGGGAGUGCGGAAUUCCUGGUGUAGCGGUGAAAUGCGCAGAUAUCAGGAGGAACACCGGUGGCGAAGGCGGCACUCUGGGCCGGUACUGACGCUGAGGAGCGAAAGCGUGGGGAGCGAACAGGAUUAGAUACCCUGGUAGUCCACGCCGUAAACGUUGGGCACUAGGUGUGGGGCUCGAUCGACGGGUUCCGUGCCGUAGCUAACGCAUUAAGUGCCCCGCCUGGGAAGUACGGCCGCAAGGCUA